UUCUUCUUCUUCCAUGGCGACGGCGGGCGGCGAUUCCUAGAGAGGCGGCGGAAUAAGCAGAAGCAGGCGGAGUUAGGAAGAGAAGGAGCGAUCGAAGAAUACGCUGGACCCAAGCAGGGGAAACACGUCUCCACCCGCUUCCGUUACCACGCCAGGCCAUCCUUCAGUGUCCUGUCCACACAGGGUGUACUGCGAAUCUGGGAUGUCUGUGGGUGUCAAGGAUCAUUCACUUUGAUUUCAGAGCUCUGAAUUUUUUUAUCCAUCAUAACCGUCAGAGAACAGAAACAGAUUAAAUUGCUAGACAGCCAACAUGAAGCUUCCGUACAUAUGCAAGCGAGAUGCAUCCUUCCAGCUCCAGCAUUAACUAAGCUGCUUGCUAACAGAAUGAAAUGAACCCAAAGGAAGACAAUAAAUACAUAAUACAGUUACAAGUGCAAGGUUUUUCCGAAUUGGCACCAGGAACAAGCAAAUCGAUAUAGAAACAGGGCAAAGUGCUUUACUGCGUAUCGAUCAAAUCAAUGUCACUUGGUUGUUUCUUGGAAGUGCAAGAGGGGUGAGAUCGAUGGAGGCCGGUGUGGUAUGAACAACAAUUCCAACUCCUGGUAAUUAAGCUGAAGCUGCAGGAAAACAGAGUUGUUCAUCCAAGUUAACGGACGAUUAUUUGAUCAAUAAAUCAGGGCCAGAGUUCAACUACUAGCGAGUACAUAUAUAGUAGCAGAGAUUAUCGGAGGGAGCAUCAGGAAAAUGUAACUGGUUAAGUCUGUAGAGGACUUCAGAGUUGGAUAUGUGUUAUUUAGAUGGCUGGAAAGAUUAUUUUGGAAAGUGAACUAUGUGGUCUUUUGUAAUGAAUCUUGUAGCUGCAAAAAAGUUCCAUGCAUGGUGAAACAUAUAGUAUUGUCAGAAGCGAAGAACAGUUUUGUUCCAGCUCUUGUGAUAGUAUAUUACUGUACAAUAGAAUUGCUAAGACUAUAUAUUGGGCACACGGAAGUUGUGUA